UACGAAGGGGGCAAGCGUUGUUCGGAAUUACUGGGCGUAAAGGGCGCGUAGGCGGUCUGCUAAGUUGGAUGUGAAAACUCUGGGCUUAACCCAGAGCCUGCAUUCAAUACUGACAGGCUAGAGUUCUGGAGGGGAUAGCGGAAUUCCUGGUGUAGCGGUGAAAUGCGUAGAUAUCAGGAGGAACACCGGUGGCGAAGGCGGCUAUCUGGACAGAGUCUGACGCUGAGGCGCGAAAGCUAGGGGAGCAAACAGG
rnacentral:rRNA from 1 species